GAGCGGCCCAUGACCUAUCAGCUAGUUGGUGAGGUAACGGCCCACCAAGGCAACGACGGGUACCGGGACUGAGAGGUCGGUCCGGCACAUUGGCACUGAGACACUGGCCAGACUCCUACGGGAGGCUGCAGUAACGAAUAUUGGGCAAUGGGCGCAAGCCUGACCCAGCGACGCCGCGUGUGGGAUGAAGUCCCUCGGGAUGUAAACCACUGUCAGAGAUUACCAAGCAAGAAGGGUGAACAAUCUUUCGAGUUGAGGAAUCUCAGAGGAAGCCACGGCUAACUCUGUGCCAGCAGCCGCGGUAAUACAGAGGUGGCGAGCGUUGUUCGGAAUCACUGGGCUUAAAGCGUGAGUAGGCGGCCUGUUAAGCGUCUUGUGAAAUCCCCCGGCUCAACCGGGGAAUUGCUUGGCGAACUGGCGGGCUUGAGGCAGGUAAGGGUAAGUGGAACUCUCGGUGGAGCGGUGGAAUGCGUAGAUAUCGAGAGGAACGCCGGUGGUGAAGACGACUUACUGGGCCUGUCCUGACGCUGAGUCACGAAAGCCGGGGGAGCAAACGGGAUUAGAUACCCCGGUAGUCCUGGCCCUAAACAAUGUCCACUAGACCGGAGACACUCUGACGUGGUUUCGGUCGCAAUGAAAACGUUAAGUGGACCGCCUGGGGAGUACGGUCGCAAGGCUAAAACUCAAAGGAAUUGACGGGGGCUCACACAAGCGGUGGAGCAUGUUGUUCAAUUCGAUGCAACGCGAAGAACCUUAUCCUAGGCUUGACAUGUAUGAGCCUCUACCUGGAAACAGGAUAGAGUUGCCCUUCGGGGUGUAAGCAUACACAGGUGCUGCAUGGCUGUCGUCAGCUCGUGUCGUGAGAUGUCGGGUUAAGUCCCAUAACGAGCGAAACCCUUGUCGCUAGUUGCCAGCGAGUAAUGUCGGGGACUCUAGCGAGACUGCCGGUGUCAAACCGGAGGAAGGUGGGGAUGACGUCAAGUCCUCAUGGCCUUUAUGCCUAGGGCCACAAACGUGCUACAAUGGCUGAGACAAACCGAAGCAAAACCGCGAGGUCGAGCAAAUCGGAAAAAAUCAGCCCCAGUUCAGAUUGGAGUCUGCAACUCGACUCCAUGAAGUUGGAAUCGCUAGUAAUCGCGGAUCAGCUACGCCGCGGUGAAUGUGUUCCUGAGCCUUGUACACACCGCCCGU
rnacentral:rRNA from 1 species